rnacentral:rRNA from 1 species
GACGAACGCUGGCGGCGUGCUUAACACAUGCAAGUCGAGCGGUAAGGCCCUUUCGGGGGUACACGAGCGGCGAACGGGUGAGUAACACGUGGGUGACCUGCCCUCAGCUCUGGGAUAAGCCUGGGAAACUGGGUCUAAUACCGGAUAUGACUCCAUGACGCAUGUUGUGGGGUGGAAAGCCUUGUGCGGCUGAGGAUGGGCCCGCGGCCUAUCAGCUUGUUGGUGGGGUGANGGGCCUACCAAGGCGACGACGGGUAGCCGGCCUGAGAGGGCGACCGGCCACACUGGGACUGAGACACGGCCCAGACUCCUACGGGAGGCAGCAGUGGGGAAUCUUGCGCAAUGGGCGAAAGCCUGACGCAGCGACGCCGCGUGAGGGAUGACGGCCUGG